rnacentral:rRNA from 1 species
AUUGAACGCUGGCGGCAGGCCUAACACAUGCAAGUCGAGCGAGCGGCGGACGGGUGAGUAAUGUCUGGGAAACUGCCUGAUGGAGGGGGAUAACUACUGGAAACGGUAGCUAAUACCGCAUACCAUCAGAUGUGCCCAGAUGGGAUUAGCUGGUAGGUGGGGUAACGGCUUACCUAGGCGACGAUCCCUAGCUGGUCUGAGAGGAUGACCAGCCACACUGGAACUGAGACACGGUCCAGACUCCGACGGGAGGCAGCAGUGGGGAAUAUUGCACAAUGGGCGCAAGCCUGAUGCAGCCAUGCCGCGUGUGUGAAGAAGGCCGUCGGGUUGUAAAGUACUUUCAGCGGGGAGGCGUUACCGGCAGAAGAAGCACCGGCUAACUCCGUGCCAGCCGCCGCGGUAAUAC